rnacentral:rRNA from 3 species
UUCGCCGCCGGUGACGUUGUGAGAAGUUCAUUAAACCUUAUCAUUUAGAGGAAGGAGAAGUCGUAACAAGGUUUCCGUAGGUGAACCUGCGGAAGGAUCAUUG